rnacentral:rRNA from 1 species
GACGAACGCUGGCGGCGUGCCUAAUACAUGCAAGUAGAACGCUGAAGAGAGGAGCUUGCUCUUCUUGGAUGAGUUGCGAACGGGUGAGUAACGCGUAGGUAACCUGCCUUGUAGCGUGGGAUAACUAUUGGAAACGAUAGCUAAUACCGCAUAACAAUGGAUGACCCAUGUCAUUUAUUUGAAAGGGGCAAAUGCUCCACUACAAGAUGGACCUGCGUUGUAUUAGCUAGUAGGUGAGGUAACGGCUCACCUAGGCGACGAUACAUAGCCGACCUGAGAGGGUGAUCGGCCACACUGGGACUGAGACACGGCCCAGACUCCUACGGGAGGCAGCAGUAGGGAAUCUUCGGCAAUGGGGGCAACCCUGACCGAGCAACGCCGCGUGAGUGAAGAAGGUUUUCGGAUCGUAAAGCUCUGUUGUAAGUCAAGAACGAGUGUGAGAGUGGAAAGUUCACACUGUGACGGUAGCUUACCAGAAAGGGACGGCUAACUACGUG